GAUGAACGCUAGCGGCAGGCUUAAUACAUGCAAGUCGAGGGGCAGCAUGAAUGUAGCAAUACAUUUGAUGGCGACCGGCAAACGGGUGCGGAACACGUACACAACCUUCCUAUAAGUGGGGAAUAGCCCAGAGAAAUUUGGAUUAAUACCCCGUAACAUAAUGAUGUGGCAUCACAUUAUUAUUAUAGCUACGGCGCUUAUUGAUGGGUGUGCGGCUGAUUAGAUAGUUGGCGGGGUAACGGCCCACCAAGUCUACGAUCAGUAGCUGAUGUGAGAGCAUGAUCAGCCACACGGGCACUGAGACGCGGGCCCGACUCCUACGGGAGGCAGCAGUAAGGAAUAUUGGUCAAUGGACGCAAGUCUGAACCAGCCAUGCCGCGUGAAGGAUUAAGGUCCUCUGGAUUGUAAACUUCUUUUAUCUGGGACGAAAAAAGGCUAUUCUUAGUCACUUGACGGUACCAGAUGAAUAAGCACCGGCUAACUCCGUGCCAGCCGCCGCCGUAAAAC
rnacentral:rRNA from 1 species